GGAGCAUGUGGUUUAAUUCGAAGCAACGCGCAGAACCUUACCAACCCUUGACAUGGGUAUCGCGAUUUCCAGAGAUGGAUUUCUUCAGUUCGGCUGGAUACCACACAGGUGCUGCAUGGCUGUCGUCAGCUCGUGUCGUGAGAUGUUCGGUUAAGUCCGGCAACGAGCGCAACCCACGUCUUUAGUUGCCAGCAUUCAGUUGGGCACUCUAAAGAAACUGCCGAUGAUAAGUCGGAGGAAGGUGUGGAUGACGUCAAGUCCUCAUGGCCCUUACGGGUUGGGCUACACACGUGCUACAAUGGCAGUGACAAUGGGUUAAUCCCUAAAAGCUGUCUCAGUUCGGAUUGGGGUCUGCAACUCGGCCCCAUGAAGUCGGAAUCGCUAGUAAUCGCGUAACAGCAUGACGCGGUGAAUACGUUCCCGGGCCUU
rnacentral:rRNA from 1 species